rnacentral:rRNA from 1 species
UACGGAGGAUCCAAGCGUUAUCCGGAUUCACUGGGCUUAAAGGGCGUGUAGGCGGUAUGACAAGUCAGUGGUGAAAACCUGCAGCUUAACUGUAGAACUGCCAUUGAUACUGUUAUUCUUGAGUACAUUUGAUGUGAGUGGAAUGUGUCGUGUAGCGGUGAAAUGCUUAGAUAUGACACAGAACACCAAUUGCGAAGGCAGCUCACAGAACUGUAACUGACACUGAGGCACGAAAGCGUGGGGAUCAAACAGG